UACGGGGGGGCAAGCGUUGUUCGGAAUUACUGGGCGUAAAGGGCUCGUAGGUGGCCAACUAAGUCAGACGUGAAAUCCCUCGGCUUAACCGGGGAACUGCGUUCUAGAUUACUGGAUGGCUUGAAUCCGGGAGAGGGAGUGCAGAAUUCCAGGUGUAGCGGUGAAAUGCGUAGAUAUCGAGAGGAACACCAGUGGCGAAGGCGAGUCUCUGGACGAUUCCUGACGCUGAGGCACGAAAGCCAGGGAGGCAAACGGG
rnacentral:rRNA from 1 species